rnacentral:rRNA from 1 species
CGGUUGAUCCUGCCGGAGGUCACUGCUAUCAGUGUUCGACUAAGCCAUGCAAGUCAAAUGUUCUUCGUGAACAUGGCGGACUGCUCAGUAACACGUGGAUAACCUGCCCUUAGGAUUGGCAUAACACCGGGAAACUGGUGAUAAUACCGAAUAGACCAUUUAUGCUGGAAUGCUUUUUGGUUCAAAGGCUUCGGCUGCCUAAGGAUGGAUCUGCGGCCUAUCAGGUAGUAGUGGGUGUAAUGUACCUACUAGCCUACGACGGGUACGGGUUGUGAGAGCAAGAGCCCGGAGAUGGAUUCUGAGACAUGAAUCCAGGCCCUACGGGGCGCAGCAGGCGCGAAAACUUUACAAUGCGGGAAACCGCGAUAAGGGGACACUGAGUGCCAGCAUAUUAUGUUGGCUGUCCACAUGUAUAAAAACCAUGUGUUAGCAAGGGCCGGGCAAGACCGGUGCCAGCCGCCGCGGUAACACCGGCGGCCCGAGUGGUGAUCACUUUUAUUGGGUCUAAAGGGUCCGUAGCCGGUUUGAUCAGUCUUCUGGGAAAUCUGACAGCUCAACUGUUAGGCUUUCAGGGGAUACUGUUAGACUUGGGACCGGGAGAGGUAAGAGGUACUACAGGGGUAGGAGUGAAAUCUUGUAAUCCCUGUGGGACCACCAGUGGCGAAGGCGUCUUACCAGAACGGGUCCGACGGUGAGGGACGAAAGCUGGGGGCACGAACCGGAUUAGAUACCCGGGUAGUCCCAGCCGUAAACGAUGUUCGCUAGGUGUC